rnacentral:lncRNA from 1 species
CCUGUUGCACGGAGUUCCGAACAUUAAUAAAUCCUCUCCUCCGCAAAACACUUUCACUUCCUAUCCCAUUCCUUCGGAAACCGGGAAGAGUAACAUGACCACAUUAAAGAGAGGGAUCUUACCGGCUCUUUGGCAAAACCUUAUUUUUAUUCUUUGAAAACAAGACGUUCAGAGGGGUUUUUGCUAUUUGCAGGAGCUGCCUGUUCUCAAAUAUCGCGAUCUCCAAGGAGCAGGGGCAAGUGGGGUCAGCAAGAAGGACCCUAGGGCUUCCGCGAGGCUUCCAGUUCCGUGUGUCUGCGCUUCUGCGUCCGCCGAGGACAACACUCAGCCAGGCAAUUGACUAUAUGACUCAGUCAGAUGGAGGCAAGGCUGACAACAUAGGACCGCUUCACUGUCACCCAGUCACAGAUGGCCAGACUGAAGGAAAGGAGCAGCUACGUUAUGAGGUGAUUUGUUACCUGCUUAUCUCCAGCCUGCCAGUCAACCCCGGCUGUCCUGAGCCGGGGAGGAACAAUGCAGAAGGGCAGCGCCAGAAAAAUGUUUGCCCGGGGAUUACCAGACAUCGCAGAGCAGACGGCAAGGGCUUCAGGAAGCCCAGAACUUCCUAA